AGGAUGGAUGGUGAAUUAUUCACAGAUUCAGAGCAGGAUUGGAGCAGCUCAUCAGAAUCUGACUGGAUGAGUGAGACGGGAAAAAGGAAAGGAAAACAAGGGGUAAAAAGAAAGAUGGAUCAACAAAAUGGUAAAACAAAGAAAAUAGCCAGAACUAAAAACUCUAGGCUUCCAGGGGUAGACCUAACAGAUGUCUUUCAAGAGGUCAGGAAAAAGGACCAGCUGGCUGUCCAUUGUGGAAAAAUUGCAGGUCACCUGUACAGAAUAAAAUAUGACAAUGGAGAGAAGUGUAUUUUAUGUAAAGGGAAAUGGUUUACGCCCAGUAUGUUUGAGAAGUUUGGAGGAAAAGGGCAUCACAAGAAGUGGAAGAGUAGCAUCUAUUACAAGCCAUCAAAUGGCUUUCAACCAUUUAAAUUACUGGAACUCAUACAAAAUGGGUGUCUUUCAGAAUUUGGACAAAUGAGGGAGUCAAAUAGAGAGGCGACACCAAAAAGAUUGUUUUCCAGGACUCCGAAAACACCUGUAUGUGGAAUUGAAGAGGAAACAAUCCAGCUGGACAGUUCUUCAGAUGAGUCUGUAUCUGCUGCUGAAAGAGUCAAAACGGUGACACAGACAGAGUCCCAUAAAAGAUUGUUUUCCAAGACUCUGGAAAAACCUGAAUGUAGAAUUGAAGAGGAAACAAUCCAGCUGGACAGUUCUUCAGAUGAGUCUGUAUCUGUUGCUGUAAGAGUCAAAAAGAACAGGAGAGAAUCUGUAACUGUAACUGAAACUCUCACUGAAAAGAUCACAGAACCAGUAGAAUCUACUGCUAGUGCUAGAGAUUCACCUGCACCUCCCACUGAUGAUACAGAACCUGCAGUAUCAAGGCAACUGAGGGAGUCAAUUAGAGAGGUGACACAGACAGAGUCCUGGAAAAGAUUGUUUUCCAAGAGUCUGGAAAUACCUGUUUGUCGAAUUGAACAGGAAACUUUCCAGCUGGACAGAUCUUCAGAUGAGUCUGUAUCUGUUGCUGAAAAAGUCAAAAUGGCACAGAACAGUAAAAAGAUCACAGAACGGGUAAAAUCUACUGCCAAUGCUAGAGAUUCAUCUGUACCUCUCACUGAUGCUACAGAACCUGCAGUAUCUCCAGUCGUAGAGGAGGCAGAUCAGACCACAGAUGAAGCAGCAGCAGCAGCUCAGCUGAACUUCAGUGAUUCUCCCACUGAUGCUACAGAACCCACAGUAUCUCCUGUCGUAGACGAGGCAGAUCAGACCACAGAAGCAGCAGCAGCUCAGCUGAACUUCAGUGAUUCUCCCACUGAUGCUACAGAACCCACAGUAUCUCCUGUCGUAGACGAGGCAGAUCAGACCACAGACGCAGCAGCAGCUCAGCUGAACUUCAGUGAUUCUCCCACUGAUGCUACAGAACCUGCAGUAUCUCCUGUUGUAGAGGAGGCAGAUCAGAACACAGAAGCAGCAGCAGCUCAGCUGAACUUCAGUGAUUCUCCCACUGAUGCUACAGAACCCACAGUAUCUCCUGUCGUAGACGAGGCAGAUCAGAACACAGAUGAAGCAGCAGCUCAGCUGAACUUCAGUGAUUCUCCCACUGAUGCUACAGAACCUGCAGUAUCUCCGGUUGUAGACGAGGCAGAUCAGACCACAGAUGAAGCAGCAGCAGCAGCUCAGCUGAACUUCAGUGAUUCUCCCACUGAUGCUACAGAACCUGCAGUAUCUCCUGUCAUAGAGGAGGCCAAUCAGAACACAGAUGAAGCAGCAGCUCAGCUGAACUUCAGUGAUUCUCCUGCUGAAUGGCAGAAACCUACUGCUUCUGAAGAGACUGAGAACAUGCAGUUAAUUAAAUUUCUGGAAAAUCAGUUUAAGACUAUUAACAACACCCUAAAAUCAAUUGAUUUGUCUUUAAAGAAGCUGGUGGAAAAACAGUCACAAGACACACCGCCUCAAUAUAUCUUUCUAAUUCCUGCUGAUUUUGAAAAUCCCCAGAUUAAUUCCUUAGUCAAGGAGGAGCCAGUCACAGAAGGUGGGGUAAGUACUGAGGAAGCAGAACUGUGA
ensembl:lncRNA